AAGGAAAGGAAAGGGAAAGAAGCAAGCAUGUAUGCAAGAAAGAAAAAGGACCAAAGAAGGAUGUUGGGUAUCCUUUUUUUUUGGGGGUUUGUUGUUGGGAAGACCUUUUCCUGCUUCUUUUU
rnacentral:ribozyme from 1 species